GGCCAAGGACAAUGACGAAGGCCUUUAGAGGCCUUUCCACCAUCCAUUAUCUUCUGGUACACAGGAAACCAAAGGGAAACAGAAGUAUUCCCACAGGAUGCAGUCCCCAAGAGAAAAGGCUCUGAAAAAUAAUUCCUGCUAGAUCAGGAUGUUCGUGGAAAUAAACAGAAGACCACCCAAGAGAAAACCAACAGAAACGAUUAUAAAUGAACAAAAACAACAUCAAAAGCAACUAAGGUCACCCAAUAUUCUACUUCCCAGGCACAGGCCCAUAUCCUACCCCACCAGUAAAGCUAAACAAGAUGCACGGCAUUUCUGCUUCCUCAUGAGACACAGCUAAGGAACAUUCCAAAGAUGAAGUGGCAACUUAUUCGUGAGUUAAUUUUCUGUAUGUUUAACAGCUCCUUGCUCAACUCCAAGCCUUUACCCUGUGCACCCAGCUGAAGGUGUCAUAGUGUAGUGGUGACUGCAUCGUAUUUUUCUCCCAAACUGGGUUACUGCUAAGAGCAGAAGGUCACUAUAAAUAUUUAUGCUAGGUAAACAGACAUAAACCAAG
rnacentral:lncRNA from 1 species